AGCGUCACAGCCUCGGAACAUUUCUUUGAGGCAAUGAAGACAUUUAUCAGCCAUAAAUCUCAGGUGACUUUGUGUCCUGGAAUCCUUCAUAGGGUGGAAUCAAAAAGAACCCAGAAGAAAAACACUGCCUUUUAAAAAAUGGAAUCUGAAAACUGGAGAAGGGAGAGUGAUGGAGACUAAAGCCCAACAAGGAAGAGACUCUCGAGAAAGCAAUAUCUCAGUCCUUUUGCAAAAAACCCGAUCUUCCAAAGAGGAUUCCUGGAUGUAACUUUCUUAGAAAGAUAAAGUAUUCCUCAAGGAUCCAGGAAGGAACUCAAAAGGAAAGAAAAUCAUUCUGGUAAAUUAAAUAAAUAUGGCGGACCUGAUAAUCUAUCGAGGGAAGUGCACAAGAACAAAUACCUUGUACAUCAGAAGAAGUGCUGUAAAGUGGAUUGAACAAAGCACCACGAACAUGUGGAAUUUGCCCCCUUUUCCAAGUUGAUAGAGAAGAUUGACUACUCAUUUUAGUUUCUGAUGCACAUUCUUCUGAAAGUAAACAAGCGUAGUCUGCUUAGACUGUGGUUACUAUUAUUACUUGUCAUCUUCAGAUAUGGGCAGGACAUUCUGAAUAGAUGAUGUUAUGGAAGGCAAGAAGAUUUUCCUAUGCUCCUACACAAUGUGGCUAAGAGUGUGGGAAAAUGGGCACUCAUAUUUUGUGGGUGGUGGGUGUAUCAGAGGAUGUCAGUAGAAGCAAUUUGGUAAUAUGCCCCCGUGAAGGCUUUCUGCAUCUUGAUUGCUACUGAAUCCUUAAUGCCUAAAAUUCU